CGUGUAGGUGGAUAUUUAAGUCAGAUGUGAAAACUCCGGGCUCAACUUGGAGAUUGCAUUUGAAACUGGGUAUCUUGAGGGUAGGAGAGGAAAGUGGAAUUCCUAGUGUAGCGGUGAAAUGCGUAGAUAUUAGGAGGAACACCAGUGGCGAAGGCGACUUUCUGGACUAUACCUGACACUGAGACGCGAAAGCGUGGGGAGCGAACG
rnacentral:rRNA from 1 species